UAAACAGUAUAGUAGUGUAUCUGUAGGGUCUGGAUAGGUAUAAACAGUAUAGUAGUGUAUCUGUAGGGUCUGGAUAGGUAUAAACAGUAUAGUGGUGGAUCUGUAGGGUCUGGAUAGGUAUAAACAGUAUAGUAGUGUAUCUGUAGGGUCUGGAUAGGUAUAAACAGUAUAGUAGUGUAUCUGUAGGGUCUGGAUAGGUAUAAACAGUAUAGUGGUGGAUCUGUAGGGUCUGGAUAGGUAUAAACAGUAUAGUGGUGGAUCUGUAGGGUCUGGAUAGGUAUAAACAGUAUAGUAGUGUAUCUGUAGGGUCUGGAUAGGUAUAAACAGUAUAGUGGUGGGGUCUGGAUAGGUAUAAACAGUAUAGUAGUGUAUCUGUAGGGUCUGGAUAGGUAUAAACAGUAUAGUAGUGUAUCUGUAGGGUCUGGAUAGGUAUAAACAGUAUAGUGGUGGGGUAUGGAUAGGUAUAAACAGUAUAGUAGUGUAUCUGUAGGGUCUGGAUAGGUAUAAACAGUAUAGUGGUGGAUCUGUAGGGUCUGGAUAGGUAUAAACAGUAUAGUAGUGUAUCUGUAGGGUCUGGAUAGGUAUAAACAGUAUAGUAGUGUAUCUGUAGGGUCUGGAUAGGUAUAAACAGUAUAGUGGUGGAUCUGUAGGGUCUGGAUAGGUAUAAACAGUAUAGUAGUGUAUCUGUAGGGUCUGGAUAGGUAUAAACAGUAUAGUAGUGUAUCUGUAAGGUCUGGAUAGGUAUAAACAGUAUAGUAGUGGAUCUGUAGGGUCUGGAUAGGUAUAAACAGUAUAGUGGUGAGGUCUGGAUAGGUAUAAACAGUAUAGUAGUGUAUCUGUAGGGUCUGGAUAGGUAUAAACAGUAUAGUGGUGGGGUCUGGAUAGGUAUAAACAGUAUAGUAGUGUAUCUGUAGGGUCUGGAUAGGUAUAAACAGUAUAGUAGUGUAUCUGUAGGGUCUGGAUAGGUAUAAACAGUAUAGUGGUGGGGUCUGGAUAGGUAUAAACAGUAUAGUAGUGUAUCUGUAGGGUCUGGAUAGGUAUAAACAGUAUAGUGGUGGAUCUGUAGGGUCUGGAUAGGUAUAAACAGUAUAGUAGUGUAUCUGUAGGGUCUGGAUAGGUAUAAACAGUAUAGUAGUGUAUCUGUAGGGUCUGGAUAGGUAUACACAGUAUAGUGGUGAGGUCUGGAUAGGUAUAAACAGUAUAGUAGUGUAUCUGUAGGGUCUGGAUAGGUAUAAACAGUAUAGUGGUAGGGUCUGGAUAGGUAUAAACAGUAUAGUGGUGGAUCUGUAGGGUCUGGAUAGGUAUAAACAGUAUAGUGGUGGGGUCUGGAUAGGUAUAAACAGUAUAGUGGUGGAUCUGUAGGGUCUGGAUAGGUAUAAACAGUAUAGUGGUGGGGUCUGGAUAGGUAUAAACAGUAUAGUGGUGGAUCUGUAGGGUCUGGAUAGGUAUAAACAGUAUAGUGGUGGGGUCUGGAUAGGUAUAAACAGUAUAGUGGUGGAUCUGUAGGGUCUGGAUAGGUAUAAACAGUAUAGUGGUGGGGUCUGGAUAGGUAUAAACAGUAUAGUGGUGGAUCUGUAGGGUCUGGAUAGGUAUAAACAGUAUAGUGGUGGAUCUGUAGGGUCUGGAUAGGUAUAAACAGUAUAGUGGUGGGGUCUGGAUAGGUAUAAACAGUAUAGUAGUGGGGUCUGGAUAGGUAUAAACAGUAUAGUAGUGGGGUCUGGAUAGGUAUAAACAGUAUAGUGGUGGGGUCUGGAUAGGUAUAAACAGUAUAGUAGUGGGGUCUGGAUAGGUAUAAACAGUAUAGUGGUGGGGUCUGGAUAGGUAUAAACAGUAUAGUGGUGGGGUCUGGAUAGGUAUAAACAGUAUAGUAGUGGGGUCUGGAUAGGUAUAAACAGUAUAGUGGUAGAUCUGUAGGGUCUGGAUAGGUAUAAACAGUAUAGUGGUGGGGUCUGGAUAGGUAUAAACAGUAUAGUAGUGGGGUCUGGAUAGGUAUAAACAGUAUAGUGGUGGGGUCUGGAUAGGUAUAAACAGUAUAGUGGUGGGGUCUGGAUAGGUAUAAACAGUAUAGUAGUGGGGUCUGGAUAGGUAUAAACAGUAUAGUGGUAGAUCUGUAGGGUCUGGAUAGGUAUAAACAGUAUAGUGGUAGGGUCUGGAUAGGUAUAAACAGUAUAGUGGUGUAUCUGUAGGGUCUGGAUAGGUAUAAACAGUAUAGUGGUGGGGUCUGGAUAGGUAUAAACAGUAUAGUGGUGUAUCUGUAGGGUCUGGAUAGGUAUAAACAGUAUAGUAGUGGGGUCUGGAUAGGUAUAAACAGUAUAGUGGUGGGGUCUGGAUAGGUAUAAACAGUAUAGUGGUGGGGUCUGGAUAGGUAUAAACAGUAUAGUAGUGUAUCUGUAGGGUCUGGAUAGGUAUAAACAGUAUAGUAGUGGGGUCUGGAUAGGUAUAAACAGUAUAGUAGUGGGGUCUGGAUAGGUAUAAACAGUAUAGUGGUGGGGUCUGGAUAGGUAUAAACAGUAUAGUGGUGGGGUCUGGAUAGGUAUAAACAGUAUAGUGGUGGGGUCUGGAUAGGUAUAAACAGUAUAGUGGUGGGGUCUGGAUAGGUAUAAACAGUAUAGUGGUGGAGCUGUAUUGAUUCCACCAUACAGAUUGUACAACAUUAAAAGAGUUUAGGGCCAGGAGACGGGUAAGGAUAGAUCCUAAUCAAAUCCAUAGCAACACAGAGGGCAGCUGAGUGCACAGCACUGUUUAAUGAUCAGAACUGUGUUCAGGAGGGUUCUGGCUGCCAUUCAU